UGAUUGUCUUCAUAUCUAGAAC
rnacentral:miRNA from 1 species